CCCUUAGACGUUCUGGGCCGCACGCGCGCUACACUGACCAGUGCAACAAGCAUCCGUCCUUGGCCGACAGGCCCGGGCAAUCUUUGAACGCUGGUCGUGAUGGGGAUAGACUUUUGCAAUUUUUGGUCUUCAACGAGGAAUUCCUAGUAAACGCAAGUCAUCAACUUGCAUUGAUUACGUCCCUGCCCUUUGUACACACCGCCCGUCGCACCUACCGAUUGAAUGGUCCGGUGAAGCCUCCGGAUUGGCGCGCACCUCGGUGCCGCCGAGAAGUUGGCUAAACCUUACCAUUUAGAGGAAGGUGAAAUCGUAACA
rnacentral:rRNA from 1 species